rnacentral:lncRNA from 7 species
AUGGUGACCCCACCCAUCCCAUCAUCCCGCCCAUCCCAUCCAUCCAAUGGUGACCCCACCGAUCCCAUCCCAUCCCAUCCCAUCCCAUCCCAUCCCAUCCCAUCCCAUCCAUCCCAAUGUUGUCCCCACCCAUCCCAUCAUCCCGCCCAUCCCAUCCAUCCCAAUGGUGACCCCACUGAUCCCAUCCCAUCCCCCCCAUAUCCUAGUCCCAUUCAUCCCACUGAUCCCACCCAUUCCAUUGGUGUCCCCACCCAUCCUCCCCACCCCACUGAUCCCACCCCUGCCCCCCAUCCCAGUGGUGUCCCCACCCAUCCCAUCCUUUCCCAUCCAUCCCAUCCCAUCCAUCCCAAUCGUGACCCCACUCAUCCCAUCCCAUCCCAUCCCAUCCCAUCCCAUCCCAUUCAUCCCACUGAUCCCACCCAUUCCAUUGGUGUCCCCAUCCAUCCCAUCAUCCCACCCAUCCCAUCCAUCCAUCCUAAUGGUGACCCCACCCAUCCCAUCCCAUCCCAUCCCAAUGGUGACCCCACUGAUCCCAUCCCAUCCCACCCCCCACCCCACAGAUCCCACCCCUCCCCCCAUGGCAGUGGUGCCCCCCAUUGCCAUCAGUGCCCCCCCGGUGUUCCCAGCAGUGCCGCCAUCCCCCCCUGCAGGCACCGCCCGCAGCCCUCCGGGGCUUUCAGUCGCUGCUCUGUGCGCCCCAUAGGGAGGGGGAGAAAUCACUGUGGCACCGCCGGGUCACCAUGGAAACACUGGGGGUCACCAUGGGGUCACCAGGAGUCACCAUGGGAUCACCAGGAGUCACCAUGGCAGCACUGGGAGUCACCAUGGGAUCACCAGGAGUCACCAUGGGAUCACCGGGAAUCACCAUGGGAUCACCAGGAGUCACCAUGGGGUCACCAUGGAAUCACCAUGGGAUCACCAGGAUCUCACUAUGGGAUCACCAGGAGUCACCAUGGCAACACUGGGAGUCACCAUGGCAGCACCAUAAGGUCACCAUGGGAUCACCAGGAUCUCAUUCACCAUAGGAUCACCAUCAUCUCACCAUGGGAUCACCAGGAGUCACUAUGGGAUCACCGGGAAUCACCAUGGCAGCACUGGGAGUCGCCAUGGGAUCAGCAGGAGUCACCAUGGGAUCACCGGGAGUCACCAUGGCAGCACCAGGAAUCACCAUGGGAUCACCAGGAUCUCACUAUGGGAUCACCAGGAGGUCACCAUGGCAGCACUGGGGGUCACCAUGGGAUCACCAGGAUGUCACCAUGGGGUCACCAGGAGGUCAGCAUGGGAUCACCAGGAGUCACCAUGGGAUCACCAGGAAGUCACCAUGGGAUCACUGGGAGUCACCAUGGGUUCACCAGGAGGUCACCAUGGCAGCACUGGGAGUCACCAUGGGAUCACCGGGAGUCGCCAUGGGAUCACCAGGAGUCACCAUGGGAUCACCAGGAUCUCACUAUGGGAUCACCAGGAGUCACCAUGGCAGCACUGGGAGUCACCAUGGCAGCACCAUAAGGUCACCAUGGGAUCACCAGGAUCUCAUUCACCAUGGGAUCACCAUCAUCUCACCAUGGGAUCACUAGGAUGUCACCAUCGGAUCACCAGGAGUCACCAUGGCAGCACUGGGAGUCACCAUGGGGUCACCAGCAGUCGCCAUGGGGUCACCAGGAGUCACCAUGGGAUCACCGGGAAUCACCAUGGGAUCACCAGGAGUCGCCAUGGGAUCACCAGGAGGUCACCAUGGCAGCACUGGGAGUCACCAUGAGAUCACCUGAAUGUCCCCAUGGGAUCACCAGGAGUCACCAUGGCAACACUGGGGGGCACCAUGGCAGCACCAGGAAUCAACAUGGGAUCACCAGGAUCUCACUAUGGGAUCACCAGGAGGUCACCAUGGGAUCACCAGGAGUCACCAUGGGAUCACCAGGAGGUCACCAUGGCAGCACUGGGAGUCACCAUGGCAGCACCAUAAGGUCACCAUGGGAUCACCAGGUGUCACCAUGGGAUCACCAGGAUGUCACCAUGGGGUCACCAGGAGGUCAGCAUGGGAUCACCAGGACUCACAAUGGGAUCACUGGGAGUCACCAUGGGAUCACCAGGAGUCACCAUGGGAUCACCGGGAAUCACCAUGGGAUCACCAGGAUCUCAUUAUGGGAUCACCAGGAGUCACCAUGGCAGCACUGGGAGUCGCCAUGGGAUCACCAGGAGGUCACCAUGGCAGCACUGGGAGUCACCAGGGGGUCACCAGGAGUGACCAUGGGAUCACCAGGAUCUUAUUAUGGGAUCACCUGAAUGUCCCCACGGGAUCACCUGAAUGUCACCAUGGCAGCACCAGGAUGUCACCAUGGCAGCACCUGAAUGUCACCAUGGGAUCACCUGAAUGUCCCCAUGGGAUCACCAUAACAUCACCAUGGGAUCACCAGGAGGUCAACAUGGGAUCAGCAGGAUGUCGCGAUGGGAUCACCAGGCUGUCACCAUGGCAGCACCAGGAUGUCACCAUGGGAUCACCUGAAUGUCCCCAUGGGAUCACCUGAAUGUCACCAUGGGAUCACCAGGAUGUUACCAUGGGAUCGCCUGAAUGUCACCACGGGAUCACCAGGAUCUCACUAUGGGAUCACCAGGAUUCCACCAUGGGAUCACCUGAACGUCCCCAUGGGAUCACCUGAAUGUCUCCAUGGGAUCACCAGGACCUCACUAUGGGAUCACCAGGAUGUCACCAUGGCAUCACCUGAAUGUCCCCAUGGGAUCACCAGGAGUCACCAUGGCAGCACCAGGAUGUCCCCAUGGGAUCACCAGGAGCUCAUUAUGGGAUCACCAGGAGGUCCCCAUAGGAUCACCUGAAUGUCCCCAUGGGAUCACCAGGAGCUCAUUAUGGGAUCACCAGGAUGUCCACAUGGGAUCACCAGGAGGUCGCCAUGACAGCACCAAGAUGUGACCAUGGGAUCACCAGGAUCUCAUUAUGGGAUCACCUGAAUGUCCCCAUGGGAUCACCAGGAUGUCAUCAUGGGAUCACCUGAAUGUCCCCAUGGGAUCACCUGAAUGUCACCAUGGGAUCACCAUAACAUCACCAUGGGAUCACCAGGAGGUCACCAUGGGAUCACCAGGAUGUCACCAUGGGAUCACCAGGAUGUCACUAUGGGAUCACCAGGAUCCCACCACGGGAUCACCAUAACGUCACCAUGGGAUCACCAGGCUGUCACCAUGGCAGCACCAGGAUGUCCCCAUGGGAUCACCAGGAGCUCACUAUGGGAUCACCAGGAUUCCACCAUGGGAUCACCUGAAUGUCCCCAUGGGAUCACCAGGAGCUCAUUAUGGGAUCACCAGGAUGUGACCAUGGGAUCAGCAGGAUGUCACCACAGGAUCACAAGGAUGUCACCAUGGGAUCACCAUAACAUCACCAUGGGAUCACCAGGAUGUCACUAUGGGAUCACCAUAACGUCACCAUGGCAGUACCAGGAGCUCAUUAUGGGAUCACCAGGAUGUCCACAUGGGAUCACCAGGAGGUCGCCAUGACAGCACCAAGAUGUGACAAUGGGAUCACCAGGAUCCCACCACGGGAUCACCAGGAUGUCACUAUGGGAUCACCAGGAUGUCACCAUGAGAUCACCUGAAUGUCCCCAUGGGGUCACCUGAAUGUCACCAUGGCAGCACCAGGAUCUCACCAUGGGAUCACCAUAACGUCCCCAUGGACACAGGCUGUCUACCAUGGAUCACCAGGAUGCUCAUUAGGAUCACCAGGAUUUGACCAUGGAUCAGUGCGAUGUCCCCAUGGGAUCACCUAAAUGUCCCCUGGGAUCACCUGAAUGUCACCAUGGCAGUACCAGGAUCUCACCAUGGGAUCACCUGAAUGUCCCCAUGGGAUCACCAUAACAUCACCAUGGGAUCACCAGGAUGUCGCUAUGGGAUCACCAAGAGUUCAUUAUGGGAUCACCAGGAUGUCACCAUGGGAUCACCACGAUGUCCCCAUGGGAUCACCAGGAGUCACCAUGGUAGCACCAGAAUCUCACCAUAGCAGUGCCAGGAGGUCACCAUGGAAUCACCAAGAGGUCAUU